rnacentral:piRNA from 1 species
UGCCGGGUACCAGCCAUUUUCAUUUGGCCAA